AAGUGUUACAGCUCUUUUAGAAUUGUCUAGCAGGUUUUCUGGCUUUUACUGGAAAACCAUU
rnacentral:snRNA from 1 species